ACACAGUCCUUGGCCACGGUGGAAAGAAACUGUCUGGAUAACAAAGGAAAUGGAAGAUUUGCUACUAAGCAGAGCAGCCAUCGCUCACUGAGCCAGUUGUCCUUAGUGACAUCGGAGUGUGCUGUUAGGAUGGAUGUGGUGACAUUCAUGAGGAAGGAGCGCUAUCGAAAAAAAUAGUUCUCAAUUUCUGAAAGCCCAUCCCAAGUAAUGAUCAUCCCAGUAGAUGAAGGGCAAAAAAGACUUUUCAGGGAAAUGAAGAUAACUCCACCUCUGGAAAAGAUUUCUUUACUGUUGUUUCAUUCCAAACAGAACAAAUCUUUUUGACAUCGUGUUCAGAUUUACUCACUCUGUGCUUCUCUUCCUCUCCUAUAUAUUUUACACCAUUGAUUCUAAGUAAGGUUUGAAAGCUCAUUUAAAUUCCAGCUUCAUUUACAAUUCUCACUAUUAUCAUACAAAAAUGCACUCAGGCUCAGACCCAAUGCCCUGAGCACCUGAGACCCAGGGCACUCUGAAGGAUGCUUUGAGCGGGCUGCUUAUUAGGCUGGGCUGGGGCUUUUGCACUGAGGGAUGGAAGGAAAAGCUCACAGCGGAAUUUGACACGGCUACUGAGAUCAAAUUUGAGCAAGAAGCAAAGUAACCCCAGCAUAGACCUUGUGUCAGGGAGCAGCUGGCAUCUUGGCUGGACAGGGACUACAGACAGAGCAUGGAAAUUCCCACUGCUCUUGUUGGUAAUGCACAAGUGUCUUUGUGCUCUCUGAUGUGCAGAAUGCAAGCACAUGAUUUUCUCUUUGCUUUCUACCACCAACCAUGCAGAAUAUUGGAAGCAAUCUUCUCCUCAAAGAAGUUAUCUCCAGAUGAACACAGGCUAAGGCUGAGGAGAUGAAAAUCGUUGGGCCUGACAUGAGCAGCUCCCCAUAUGCAAAAUAUAG
rnacentral:lncRNA from 1 species